rnacentral:lncRNA from 1 species
UCAUUCGAUCGCGUUUGGGAGGGAGCGCAUCCAGGCUGUCCAUGCGCGCAAGAAUAGACUUGGGUCGUUCGAUCGCAGGCACAUAGAUCCCCUGCGUGGCUUCCCGUGUAGCACCGCGUCAGUAAAAGUUGCCAUGUGGCGCGUUCUAGUUCGUUGGAGCUACUGACCGAGCGUCCCACGUGGCAGAACUUUUUCAAAUUAUACUUUGACCCCUGGUUUCUAAUUUUUCUUUCAAAAAUACUCUCAAAAUCUAAAUUUUUACCCCUUUUUCCCAAAAUU